UAGGGAAUAUUCCACAAUGGACGAAAGUCUGAUGGAGCAACGCCGCGUGAGUGAAGAAGGGUUUCGGCUCGUAAAACUCUGUUGUUAAAGAAGAACAUAUCUGAGAGUAACUGUUCAGGUAUUGACGGUAUUUAACCAGAAAGCCACGGCUAACUACGUGCCAG
rnacentral:rRNA from 1 species